rnacentral:Y_RNA from 1 species
UUGGCGAAUGCCAGUGGGAUUACAUCGCUGUUAACGACCAGGUUGCGGGUUCGAGUCCCGUUCGCGCUGAAGUCUUGCGCGGUAGCUCAAUUGGAUUAGAGCAGGAAAAUAUCUCACAUACAUUUGUCGCUGAAGG